GCAGAUGAGGUCAAAUUGGAAUGGCAACUCUCUUCUAAAGAGUCUAUUGCAGGUUCGAUUCCUGCCAUCUGUGCCA
rnacentral:tRNA from 1 species